rnacentral:rRNA from 1 species
GUACAUGCCGAAACCAAGGCGAAACCGCGAAUGGCUCAUUAAAUCAGUUAUGGUUCCUUAGAUUGUUUCAUGCUACUUGGAUAACUGUGGCAAUUCUAGAGCUAAUACAUGCAUUGAACCCGGGCUGCCUUCGGGAUGUUUGGGUGCAUUUAUUAGACCAAGACCAAACGGGCUUCGGCCUGUGGUUUGUGGUGACUCUGGAUAACUUCUGCUGAUCGCACGCCUUCGGGCGGCGACGCUUCUUUCAAGUGUCUGCCUUAUCAACUGUCGAUGGUAGGCUAUGCGCCUACCAUGGUUGUCACGGGUAACGGAGAAUCAGGGUUCGAUUCCGGAGAGGGAGCCUGAGAAACGGCUACCACAUCCAAGGAAGGCAGCAGGCGCGCAAAUUACCCACUCCCGGCACGGGGAGGUAGUGACGAAAAAUAACAAUACGGGACUCUUUUGAGGCCCCGUAAUUGAAAUGAGUACACUCUAAAUCCUUUAACGAGGAUCAAUUGGAGGGCAAGUCUGUCCCCAGCAGCCA